UAUUUUCAUGAUGGUAGGAGCAGCUCCUCUCGAACUCUCCUCUCCUCCUGCAGCCUCUUUUAUUAUCCUUUUGUCUCUCUCUCCAGCCGCAUGGCUGUUUGCCAGUGUCUCACGUUACCUCAUCCGGUCAAGGCUUUUAUUGCCCCCAACACCGUAUAAGGUCAAUCACUGCCCAGAGGAAACACAGCUCCAAUACAUUCCAAUACAUUGUAAAGCUCAGAGUGCUGGUCAGCCGAGGUCAGGGGGCACCCUGCAAUAUUACAAGCCUUUACCGUGGCUUUAUGACUCCCACAUGCCCUCUUUCUUUAUUUUAUAUCAGAGUCAAUACGCGAUAAGCGACUCUUGUGACACCGGAAGCGGGCCGCGGACUGGAGAACCAUGCAGUACAUAUAGAGAUUAUAGAAAGAAUACAUUGGAUACAGCAACACAAAAUAAUGCAAAUAACUACUAUAAUGAUCACUAAAAUCAAUAACUACUAUAAUGAUCACUAAAAUCCGGAAGCCAAGAAUAUAAGAAUUCUGAUUCCAAGCUGCAUGGUAGGCUUCCUUUUAGUUUAUUAGCCAUGCACUGGUGUCACUUCUAUAGCACUGAGAUUUGUCACUGUAUAUUCCUGUAAGAGAACAAGAGCUAUUAAAAGUGAAAUUCAAUGUAUAUUGACAGUUUGGAUAUAUGCCCCAUGAUUCUUUCCCCUCUUUAAUUUGAAAACAAAUGGGGGAAGGCUCAUGGAGGGUCAAUUAUACUGGAGGCCAAAAAGUUUGCUUAGGGGAUAUAACAUUAGUAAAUUGAAAAGAUCCAUUGACAGGCACACCAUGAAGCAUUAUGCCGGAAUGACUGGCAAAGGGCGGCAUGUGCAUACACAGCCAACACUUAGAAGCAUGCAAUAAACCGGUAAAAAUAAUCGUAUCUUGUACAAAAAUAUCAUCCCUCCAUAUCUUAUGAUAAUUUUCUCCCCUAAAAGUCUUAUUCAACAACGCUGUUCUUCUAGUUCGAAAAUGGCUGAGCCACGGAUACUGCCAGCCAGAGUAGGAAGCUGACGACAGCUGCUUGCCAGCCGAUGAGGUGAAAUAUGGUGGUUUCAACUGGACUGGUCGUCUGCUUCUCUUCCUUGUAUAACGGUGCAGCAAAGGAUGGCAAGGCAAUGGUUAGGAAGGCAAACACUGCCAGAUGCAGCUCGUGUGCAGCACCUCUAGGUGGCGCAUGCGGAAAGGUUUCAUUUUUUUUUUUUUUUAUAAAAUAUUUAUUGGUUUUACAAAAAAAAAUUUCCAAAAAAAUACAAAAUUACAAAAGUUCAACAAACAAAAAACAACAAUAACCAUGACAAAAAACAAACAGAAAUAACAGUAUCCAUAACAAAAAGAGAAAGAGGAAAAAAGGAAAAAGAGACAAAGAAAUUCAAAGAAUAUUAUACUUUCAUAUAUCCUUCUUAUCUUUACCUGGUUCUUUGACUUCCCCGCACCUCCCCGCUUGUAUUUCCAUUUAAGAACUCCUUUCAGCAAAUCCUUACCCUCCUUUCAUUAUCUUAACUCAGAAAACUUAAUCUAUUUAUAUAUAAAUAUUUUUACAACCUUAUCAGUCAAAUAUUCCAUACUCUUAAUCCCAAGGCUUUUGCCAAUACCAGUUAUUUUCAAUCAGACUUCAAUUUAACAUUCAUUGAUUUUAUAGUAUUUCUGUAGAUAGACUUUAAAUUUCUUCCAAUCUUCUUCCACCGACUCUUCUCCCUGGUCACGGAUUCUGCCAGUCAUCUCCGCCAGUUCCAUAUAUUCGAUUACCUUCAUCUGCCAUUCUUCCAGAGUGGGUAAGUCUUGUGUCUUCCAAUACUUUGCGAUGAGUAUUCUUGCUGCUGCUGUUGCAUACAUAAAGAAAGUUCUAUCUUUCUUUGGCACCAAUUGGCCAACAAUGCCCAAGAGGAAGGCCUCUGGUUUCUUUAAGAAGGUAUACUUAAAUACCUUUUUCAACUCAUUAUAUAUCAUUUCCCAGAAGGCCUUAAUCUUUGGGCACGUCCACCAAAGGUGAAAGAAUGUACCUUCAGUUUCCUUACAUUUCCAACAUUUAUUAUCGGGCAAAUGGUAGAUUUUUGCAAGCUUAACUGGGGUCAUGUACCACCUGUACACCAUUUUCAUAAUAUUCUCUUUUAAAGCAUUACAUGCUGUGAACUUCGUACCUGUGGUCCAUAACCAUUCCCAGUCAGCAAACAUAAUGUUAUGUCCAAUAUCCUGUGCCCAUUUAAUCAUAGCAGAUUUUACCGUUUCAUCCUGAGUAUUCCAUUUUAGCAGCAAGUUAUACAUUCUUGAAAGUGUUUUAGUUUUGGAAUCUAGCAGUUCUGUUUCCAACUUUGAUUUUUCCACCUGGAAGCCAAUUUUUCUAUCCAAAUUAUAAACCUCUCUUAUUUGGUAGUAAUGCAACCAGUCUCGCACUCUGUCUUUUAAUUUUUCAAAACUCUGCAAUUUGAAUUUAUCUCCUUCUUGUUCCAAGAUCUCCCAAUAUUUUGGCCACUUGGCCUCCAUAUUGGACUUUUUUAGGGCCUUUGCCUCCAUUGGUGAUAGCCACCUUGGGGUUUUGUUCUCCAAUAAGUCUUUGUAUCUUAUCCAGACAUUAAACAAUGCUUUCCUGACAAUAUGGUUUUUAAAUAUUUUGUGAGCUUUCACCUUGUCAUACCACAAAUAUGCAUGCCACCCAAACACAUUAUUAAAUCCUUCUAAGUCCAAAACAUCAGUAUUUUCCAGAAGUAGCCAAUCCUUCAACCAGCAGAAAGCUGCUGAUUCAUAAUAAAGUUUAAGGUCUGGCAGGGCAAAUCCCCCUCUUUCUUUAGCAUCAGUCAAUAUUUUAAAUUUUAUCCUAGGCCUCUUGCCCUGCCAGACAAACUUAGAAAUAUCUCUCUGCCACUUCUUAAAACAGUCCAUUUUGUCUAUUAUUUGUAUCGAUUGAAACAAAAACAGCAUUCUUGGCAAUACAUUCAUCUUGAUGACAGCAAUUCGACCUAACAAGGAAAGCUUCAAGUUUGUCCAUAUUUCUAAAUCUUUUUUAAUGUCCGACCAACACUUUUCAUAAUUGUCUUUAAAUAAAUUCCCAUUUUUAGCUGUCAUGUGAAUCCCCAAAUAUUUCACUUUUUUACCACUGUUAAACCUGUCUCAUUCUGAAACCUCUCUUUUUCUAUCGGUGUUAAAUUCUUCUCAAGUACUUUAGUUUUAAACUUAUUCAGCUUAAAACCUGCCACCUGACCAAACUCUUGAAUCAGUUCUAAUGCUCUUUUCGUACUAGAUUCUGGCUCCUGUAAUGUCAGUACAAGGUCAUCUGCAAAUGCUUUCAGUUUAUAUUGUUUCGCUCCGACCGUUAUGCCCUUAAUCAGAUGGUCCCUUCUUAUCAUAUUUAACAAAACCUCCAGAACAGAAAUAAAAAGUAGUGGGGAAAUUGGGCAGCCUUGUCGUGUCCCUUUCUCUAUCUUAAUUUCCUCUGUUAUCACAUUAUUAACUAUUAAUUUAGCUUUUUGUUCUGAAUAAAUUGCAUUUAUACCAUUUUCAAACUCUUGGCCUACCCCCAUCCCCUGAAGAUUUUUUUCAUAAAACUCCAAGAAAUAUUGUCAAAGGCUUUCUCUGCAUUCACAAAAAUCAAAACUGCUUUAGUGUUGAUCUCCUCUUGCAGCUUCUCCAGAAUAUCAAUUACGUUCCUUGUGUCUAUCUGGAAGAAAGCCAGCUUGGUCCUUGUGAAUCACUCCUUUUAACACUUUUUUAAGCCUUUUUGCUAAAAUAUCAGCAAAAAUUUUGUAAUCCACAUUUAACAGGGAUAUGGGCCGGUAGUUCUUAAGCUGUGUCUUUUCAGUCUCAGCCUUUGGUAUAAGUGUAAUAAAUGCGUCUUUCCACGACUCUGGCGCUCUUUUCCCCUCUAAAAUUUCAUUACAAACCUCAGUUAAAGGUCGAAUUAACCAGUCUUUCAAAGUUCUGUAAUAUUUUGAGGUUAAACCAUCCGGUCCUGGAGAUUUUCCCAACUGCAUAUUCUGAAUGGCACCUUCAACCUCCUGUUCUGUAAUUUUAUAGUUCAACAAUAUCUUGUUGUCCUGAGCAAUUUUUGUAAUCCAUUGGUUUUCAAAAAUUGCUCUAUCUCAAAUUCUUUCUGAGGCCCUUGUGUGUAUAGUCGUUUAAAAUAUCUCUGGAAGCAUUUCCUAAUUUCUUCUGGAUUCUGGAUAUUUUUCCCUUCCACUUCCAAAUUAGUAAUAGUAUUAAGUUUUUGUCGCUUCUUCAACUGCCAGGCCAGCAGUUUCCCACAUUUAUUUGCCGAUUCAAAAGUCUUUUGUCUCAUUUGCUUAAUUUUCCAUUCCACUUCUUGAUUUAUCAAUUUCAUAUAUUGCACUUGGUACAAUUUUAUUUCCCUCAGAAUCUCUUGUGAAUUGGGCUUCACUCUCAAUUUCUUCUCGCCCUCCUUUAUUUUUUCCAAAAAUUUUUCUUUCUUUACGUUUUGGGCCUUCUUCUUAAUUGAAUUCUGUUGAAUCAGGAAGCCCCUCAUAACAGCUUUGCUGCAUGCGGAAAGGUUUCAAUGCUUCACCCACAAAAUGUUGACAAAGUGUAGGGGAGUUCCACAUGCCUUGAGGCAGGACAACCCACUGAUGUCGCUGGGUGGGCUGCGGAUUGUUAUAUACUGGCAAUGUAAAAGCAAACCGUUCCCUGUCUGCUGGAGCCAGUGGGAUGAAGAU